GGUGACCAUCCACCUUUUCAGGCUCUCGGGAAUCUCAAAUAUUUAACAGUGAACCACACUUCUACACAUGAUUCGACUUACCCAGAAUAUGGAAGGUGACACCGGCCAUGUGGAGAUUAUACAGUCAUCUGACAUAAAUGAGCCGUUUGGGGUUGGAAAUCACCUCAAUCGCAAGUCAAGCCGCAAACCAGACGUCCAUCAAAAAUGUGGAUGUACACCCAAGGUCCUCUGCUUCACAGCAGCUGUUAUCAUCCUCGUCUUCAUCUUCGGCUAUUUGAUUGGCUACCUGGUCCAUCGAAAUAAGGAUUUGGCUCCCACCUGUGCACCCUCUGCUUUCCGUUAUGAAGAU